rnacentral:rRNA from 1 species
CCUACGGGAGGCAGCAGUAAGGGAUAUUGGUCAAUGGGGGAAACCCUGAACCAGCAACGCCGCGUGGGGGAAGACGGGUUUCGGAGUGUAAAGCUCUGUCCUCAGUGAAGAUGAUGACGGUAGCUGAGGAGGAAGCCCCGGCUAACUACGUGCCAGCAGCCGCGGUAAUACGUAGGGGGCGAGCGUUGUCCGGAUUUACUGGGUGUAAAGGGGGCGUAGGCGGCGUGGCAAGUCAGUAGUGAAAGCCAGGGGCCUAACCCAUGGACUGCUAUUGAAACUGGCGAGCUUGAGUGAAGUAGGGGCAGGCGGAAGUCCCGGUGUAGCGGUGAAAUGCGUAGAGAUCGGGAGGAACACCGGUGGCGAAGGCGGCCUACUGGGCUUUAACUGACGCUGAGGCACGAAAGCGUGGGUAGCAAACAGGAUUAGAUACCCGUGUAGUC